AAGUCGUAACAAGGUCUCCGUUGGUGAACCAGCGGAGGGAUCAUUACAGAGUUUACAACUCCCAAACCCUUAUGUGAACAUACCAAGAUGUUGCUUCGGCGGACUCGCCCCGGCGUCCGGACGGCCUAGCGCCGCCCGCGGCCCGGACCCAGGCGGCCGCCGGAGACCACCAAACUCUUUUGUAUCAUGAGUAUCUUCUGAAUCCGCCGCAAGGCAAAACAAAUGAAUCAAAACUUUCAACAACGGAUCUCUUGGUUCUGGCAUCGAUGAAGAACGCAGCGAAAUGCGAUAAGUAAUGUGAAUUGCAGAAUUCAGUGAAUCAUCGAAUCUUUGAACGCACAUUGCGCCCGCCAGCAUUCUGGCGGGCAUGCCUGUUCGAGCGUCAUUUCAACCCUCGACUUCCCCUUGGGGAAAUCGGCGUUGGGGACCGGCAGCAUACCGCCGGCCCCGAAAUGGAGUGGCGGCCCGUCCGCGGCGACCUCUGCGUAGUAAUCCAACCUCGCACCGGAACCCCGACGUGGCCACGCCGUAAAACACCCCACUUUCUGAACGUUGACCUCGGAUCAGGUAGGAAUACCCGCUGAACUUAA
rnacentral:rRNA from 1 species